rnacentral:rRNA from 1 species
UACGUAGGGUGCAAGCGUUGUCCGGAAUUAUUGGGCGUAAAGAGCUCGUAGGUGGUUUGUCGCGUUGUCCGUGAAAACUCACAACUCAAUUGUGGGCGUGCGGGCGAUACGGGCAGACUGGAGUACUGCAGGGGAGACUGGAAUUCCCCGGUGUAGCGGUGAAAUGCGCAGAUAUCGGGAAGAACACCCGUGGCGAAGGCGGCUCUCUGGGACGGUACUGACGCUGAGACGCGAAAGCGUGGGGAGCGAACAGG